GGAUGUGAGGGGAAUUUGGCUGUGACAUCUGAUUCCCCAUUGAUCACCAGGCUAAUCUGGCUGGCUAGGUAGAUAUUGCCUUUGUCACCACUUCGUGUGUGUUGCUCCUGAAGUUGCAGGCUCAAUUGAAGAGGAUGACCACGUCCGAUAGAUGGAAGACCAUUUCCUUGGUCAAGAAUAUAUAAGUAGCUUUGCUUCCCUGCUAGAACGUCUAAACAAGCUCUCAAAGAUAGCUGGGUUUCACAUACUUGUCAGCCUUCCCUCUUUCUUAUUAGGCUAGGAAAGAGGGUAAACAUUUUGUUGUCUACUGCAGU
rnacentral:snRNA from 1 species